AUUGAACGCUGGCGGCAGUCCUAACACAUGCAAGUCGAACGAUUGGCGGACGUGUGAGUAAUUUCUGUUAAACUUCCUGAUGGCGGGGGCUAACUACUGUAAACUGUAGCUAAUACCGCAUACCAUCAGAUUUGCCCAGAUGUGAUUAGCUAGUUGGUGGGGUAACGGCUCACCAAGGCGACGAUCCCUAGCUGGUCUGAGAGGAUGACCAGUCAAACUGGAACGGAGACACGGUCCAGACUCCUACGGGAGGCAGCAGUGGGGAAUAGUGGACAAUGGGCGCAAGCCUGAUGCAGCCAUGCCGAGUGUAUGAAGAAGGCCUUCGGAUUGUAAAGUACUUUAAGCGGGGAGGCGUUACCCGCAGAAGAAGCACCGGCUAACUCCGUGCCAGCAGCCGCGGUAAUUC
rnacentral:rRNA from 1 species